rnacentral:lncRNA from 1 species
AUGAUGAUGAAGAUGAUUGAUGAUGAUGAGGAUGAUUGAUGAUGAUGAGGAUGAUGAAGAUGAGGAGGAGGAUGAUGAUGAUGAAGAGGAUGAUGAUGAAGAUGAUUGAUGAUGACGAUGAUGACGAUGAUGAGGAGGAUGACGAAGAUGAGGAUGAUGAUGAUGAUGAUGAAGAGCCGGGGCCCUCAGCAGCAGGCCCAGGUGGGCGGGGAGCUCUCCUUGAGGCUGAUGUAGUCCCCGGUGGCAGCGGGGCCGGAGCUGCCGUCCCCGGAGCAGGAGGACAUCAUCUUCUCCAUCAGAACCCUGCGGAGAAAACCCUCAGCUCAUCGGGCCUCCUCCUGCUUGGCUUUUGUUUGUUUGAUUCAUUUUUGGGGCUUUUCUAGGAACCAGUAGCAUUGGGCAGUGCAGAAAAGAAAUAAAAAUUAAAAAAGCCAAGCA